rnacentral:lncRNA from 1 species
GUACUUUUUCCUCAUUUAUGAAUUUUUCCUGUCUGAAAAUUAAGUCUAUGAUCUAAAAGCUAAAGAAUCAAAAGGCUCAGAUUUUUAUAUCAGGCUUUCUUACAAACAUCUGCUUAGGAAAAAAGGUUUUAUUUGUUUGACAUCAAUCAAGUGUUCAAAAGAGAAACAGCAACAUUUGCUUUGCAAGAUGAACUAAGUACAGAGUUUGCUAAUAUCAUUCUGAAUUUUGGAAAGCCACAAAGUUGAAAAUUAUUAAAAUUGGCCUUAAGAUCUUUGGAACAUUCCAUCUGUGUGGAGACAGAGCACAGCAAAGGUAUUGCAGUGGUAUAACUAUGGGAUCAGAGUCAGAUUAAGACUCUUGGCAGCUGCCAACAGAAAUCAAAUGCCUCUUUCAACAUAAUAAACCAGCAUAUUAAUAUAUUUCCUUAAAAGUCAGGAUAUUUUAAAUUAACAUGUUCAGUCACAUAUCUGUGGAAAAACAAAGCAAAUUUAAAUUUUGCCAAAAAUAAAUUUGCAAACCAUUGGCUAUUUUUGAAAGCUAUUUCCUUUUCAAAAGGCAAACAGGUCAAAGACAAAAAUGGAUAUUUUUUUUGUGAUAUCUGCGUGAUGAUGAAGGUGAUGCUCUUUAGCAACUGGAUUUAGACAGCUAACUCAUUUCAUGUAGGCCAUUAGACAGAUGGCCACAACUUUCAAUCGUGUCCAGCCUCAUGGCAGUUCAAACUCAUGACCAAGAGGUAAAAAGCUUUGUAUGCCAUUAAUAAUCUGCAGGCCAUCUGUUCUCUGUAAAAGGAGACACUCUAGGACAAUUCUCAACAUAUUUUUUAUUACAAUAUUUAUUUCAAGCCUCUCCAGAAGCUUACUAUUUACCACAUCAAGUUCUCUCCAUUUGCCAAAUAUUAAUUUCUCAUUGGAAUCAGCUGUGAAAACACACAAGUUGCUUCUAUUGAACAAACUUUAACUGGCAUGGCACCCUAGGACUGAAAGGCCUUUUCCAUGCCUUAGUUGAAGCAGUAUACAUUGUUCAAAGGCUUCCUCAAAAUUUUAAAUAAAACAUCACUUACAUUUUGCUGGUCUCACAGAUAGGCUACAUUUGAACAUACCAAUUAUGAAAAUGCUUUAAUAGGAAGGCAAUUGAAUUUAAACCCUUGUGCUAAAUACCCUCAAGAGCACAUAUGGAUUUUAACUUCCUGAUGAGGUGACCUUGGCCAGCUGCCAGGCACCCAUCCAGCUGCUCUCAUUCCCCCUUCUCACCAGUGGAGAAGAGAAAAUGGAAAAGCCCAUGGGUUGAGAAAAAGACAGAGAUCACUUACAAAUUAGCAUCACAAAAAAAAAAAAAA